GCAAUACUUGGUGGAUCAGAAGGGUAAAAUUGGAGGCAAGAGGAUCAGCUGGCAAGGAGAAUGUUAGAAUAUAUAUUGAGGAGGUAGAAAUAAAAGAAGUAAGGUUUAUUUUUAGUGUAUUUUAAAAAUAUUCCUUCCUAAUGAGGACAAUCAUGAAGUAAGAGUUUAUUGUUCACUGCAGUUACUUAGACUUACUACUUAGCCUAUAAACGCUUCACCAUGUUCUUUGUCUGACAGACAUCUACUAACUAGCCUGGGAAACGGUGCAGUGGAAAGGGCAAAUGCAUUGGAAGGAGACAGUUUUGAGUUCAGAUUACAGCUCUGCUACUUUUUAAAUAGGAGAGCUGAUGUUCGAAGAGAUAAAGGGACAUGUCCCCUGAGAGCACUAAGAGGGCUGAACGCCACCCUUAA
rnacentral:lncRNA from 1 species